CUUAACGCGAAGAACCUUACCUACUCUUGACAUCCAGAGAACUUUCCAGAGAUGGAUUGGUGCCUUCGGGAACUCUGAGACAGGUGCUGCAUGGCUGUCGUCAGCUCGUGUUGUGAAAUGUUGGGUUAAGUCCCGCAACGAGCGCAACCCUUAUCCUUUGUUGCCAGCGGUUCGGCCGGGAACUCAAAGGAGACUGCCAGUGAUAAACCGGAGGAAGGUGGGGAUGACGUCAAGUCACCAUGGCCCUUACGAGUAGGGCUACACACGUGCUACAAUGGCGCACACAAAGAGAAGCGACCUCGCGAGAGCAAGCGGACCUCACAAAGUGCGUCGUAGUCCGGAUCGGAGUCUGCAACUCGACUCCGUGAAGUCGGAAUCGCUAGUAAUCGUGGAUCAGAAUGCCACGGUGAAUACGUUCCCGGGCCUUGUACACACCGAAG
rnacentral:rRNA from 1 species